rnacentral:rRNA from 1 species
GUUGUUCGGAAUUACUGGGCGUAAAGCGCGCGUAGGCGGACUGGAAAGUUGGGGGUGAAAUCCCAGGGCUCAACCCUGGAACUGCCUCCAAAACUAUCAGUCUAGAGUUCGAGAGAGGUGAGUGGAAUUCCGAGUGUAGAGGUGAAAUUCGUAGAUAUUCGGAGGAACACCAGUGGCGAAGGCGGCUCACUGGCUCGAUACUGACGCUGAGGUGCGAAAGUGUGGGGAGCAAACAGGAUUAGAUACCCUGGUAGUCCACACCGUAAACGAUGAAUGCCAGUCGUCGGGUAGCAUGCUAUUCGGUGACACACCUAACGGAUUAAGCAUUCCGCCUGGGGAGUACGGUCGCAAGAUUAAAACUCAAAGGAAUUGACGGGGGCCCGCACAAGCGGUGGAGCAUGUGGUUUAAUUCGAUGCAACGCGAAGAACCUUACCUACUCUUGACAUUUAGUGAAUCUGGAAGAGAUUUCGGAGUGCCGCGAGGAACACUAAAACAGGUGCUGCAUGGCU